GUGGGUAUAGCUCAGUGGUAGAGCACGUGCGCGUACGUGAGGUCCUGGGUUCAAUUCCCAGCAACUCUA
rnacentral:tRNA from 1 species